GGCCCGUUCGUCUAACGGUUAGGACUCCGGCCUCUCACGUCGGCAAUAGGGGUUCGAAUCCCCUACGGGUCACCA
rnacentral:tRNA from 1 species